GCCCCAGUAGCUCAGUGGAUAGAGCACGGCUCUCCUAAAGCCGGUGUCGUAGGUUCGAUUCCUACCUGGGGCG
rnacentral:tRNA from 2 species